rnacentral:rRNA from 1 species
UACGUAGGGUGCGAGCGUAAUCGGAAUUACUGGGCGUAAAGCGUGCGCAGGCGGUCUGUUAAGACCGAUGUGAAAUCCCCGGGCUUAACCUGGGAAUUGCAUUGGUGACUGGCAGGCUUUGAGUGUGGCAGAGGGAGGUAGAAUUCCACGUGUAGCAGUGAAAUGCGUAGAGAUGUGGAGGAAUACCGAUGGCGAAGGCAGCCUCCUGGGCCAACACUGACGCUCAUGCACGAAAGCGUGGGGAGCAAACAGGAUUGAG